rnacentral:rRNA from 1 species
CCUGAUGGGUUGUUGCUGGUUCUCUAGGGAGCAUGUGCACACCUGUGCUCAUCUUUAUAUCUCCACCUGUGCACCUUUUGUAGGCCUUCCAGGUCUAUGUUGCUUUUUCAUUUACCCCAAUGUAUGUUAAUAGAAUGUUGUGCCUAUAAAAUCUAUACAACUUUCAGCAACGGAUCUCUUGGCUCUCGCAUCGAUGAAGAACGCAGCGAAAUGCGAUAAGUAAUGUGAAUUGCAGAAUUCAGUGAAUCAUCGAAUCUUUGAACGCACCUUGCGCUCCUUGGUAUUCCGAGGAGCAUGCCUGUUUGAGUGUCAUUAAUAUAUAUCAACCUUCUCAUUUCUGAGUGGUUUGGAUGUGGGGGUUUGCUGGCCUCUCAAAUGAGUUCAGCUCCUCUGAAAUGCAUUAGCAGAACAACCCUGUUCAUUGGCGUGAUAACUAUCUACGCUAUUGAAUGUGAGGGAUGGUUCAGCUUUCUAACAGUCCUUGGACAACUUAUCAUUUAUGUGACCUCAAAUCAGGUAGGACUACCCGCUGAACUUAAGCA